rnacentral:rRNA from 1 species
UACUCGAGUGGCGAACGGGUGAGUAACACGUGGGUGAUAUGCCAUGCACUUCGGGAUAAGCUUGGGAAACUGGGUCUAAUACCGGAUAGGAGCCAUCUUUAGCGUGGUGGUUGGAAAGUUUUUUCGGUGUAGGAUGAGCUCGCGGCCUAUCAGCUUGUUGGUGGGGUAAUGGCCUACCAAGGCGGCGACGGGUAGCCGGCCUGAGAGGGUGUACGGCCACAUUGGGACUGAGAUACGGCCCAG